GGAAAUGUGCCCGAAAUCUAAGGGUUACUUUGAUAGAGUAAAACACAGAGGUUUAAGCCCUCUCAUUUCCU
rnacentral:tRNA from 1 species